rnacentral:rRNA from 1 species
AACGGACGCUGGCGGCAGGCCUAACACAUGCAAGUCGAGCGCGCCCUUCGGGGUGAGCGGCGGACGGGUGAGUAACGCGGGGGAACGUGCCCUUUUCUACGGAAUAGCCUCGGGAAACUGAGAGUAAUACCGUAUACGCCCUUUGGGGGUAAGAUUUAUCGGAAAAGGAUCGGCCCGCGUUGGAUUAGGUAGUUGGUGGGGGAAUGGCCUACCAAGCCGACGAUCCAUAGCUGGUUUGAGAGGAUGAUCAGCCACACUGGGACUGAGACACGGCCCAGACUCCUACGGGAGGGAGCAGUGGGGAGUCCUAGACAAUGGGGGCAACCCUGAUCUAGCCGUGCCGCGUGAGUGAUGAAGGCCUUAGGGUUGUAAAGCUGUUUCAGCUGGGAAGAUAAUGACGGUACCAGCUGAAGAAGCCCCGGCUAACUCCGUG